UACUUUGCUACAUUGCCUCUUUAAUCCGUUACUACUUAUUAUCCCAAAUUACGCGAUACACUGUUCGGUGUUUACCAUUAAUAAUGGACGUACGAAUGUACGACAAUGGUUACGUCAAGCUUACAGCCCUCCGCCGAGAUGCGAUGCUUUUUUUCCCCAACGCUUCGCAUUGGGCUGAAUUAUUAUGCCCUUUCAGGGCUUUUACAGCAGUCAGCUAUCAGUAUUCAGCUUGCGUAAUUCGUAAUUGUUUGUUAGCGGUCAGCAUUCAGCAAUCAGGACAGCCAACAAAUCAACGAAUCAACAACUCAACGCCCGCAGGGCAUACAAGGGCUGGAAGCCCGAAUUAUUUCAGCUCCAUCCCGUAAGGGUGGGGGAUCCAUGCCCAUACCUUGGUUAGAGGGCUGUAAGCCUGAUAUAAUCGUUAGCGGUCAGUAUUCAGCGGUCAGCCAACAAAUCAACAUGUCAACGAAUCAACAACUCAACAAUUUAACAAUUCACCGCCUCUGCGAGGUUUAUAAGGGCUGAAGGCCUGAAUUAAAUUCAUUCUUAUUGGUUCUAUUGCAGAAUCUGGGUUUAUAUGAU
rnacentral:sRNA from 1 species